UUUUAUUCCUAAAACUGGUUGCUAGCUCAAAACUACUAUUUUUUCUUUAAUUCCUUAUGAUUGAAUUAAGAGUCGAAUCAAUUGAAAAGGAAUACAGAUUUUGGAAAAAAGUUAAUUUAUUGGACCAACGGAGUUAGGAUCACAAGAUUAUCCCGGCUUUUUUUAUUUUUAUUUUAUUGAUCUUUGCGGAGGCUAGAGUG
rnacentral:lncRNA from 1 species